rnacentral:rRNA from 1 species
GAUGAACGCUGGCUACAGGCUUAACACAUGCAAGUCGAGGGGAAACGACGGGGAAGCUUGCUUCCCCGGGCGUCGACCGGCGCACGGGUGAGUAACGCGUAUCCAACCUGCCUCUGACUGAGGGAUAACCCGUCGAAAGUCGGCCUAAUACCUCAUGGCAUCGUCUGCGGGCAUCCAACGACGAUUAAAGAUUUCAUCGGUCAGGGAUGGGGAUGCGUCUGAUUAGCUUGUUGGCGGGGUAACGGCCCACCAAGGCGACGAUCAGUAGGGGUUCUGAGAGGAAGGUCCCCCACAUUGGAACUGAGACACGGUCCAAACUCCUACGGGAGGCAGCAGUGAGGAAUAUUGGUCAAUGGGCGGGAGCCUGAACCAGCCAAGUAGCGUGCAGGAUGACGGCCCUAUGGGUGGUAAACUGCUUUUAUGCGGGGAUAAAGUGAGGGACGUGUCCCUCAUUGCAGGUACCGCAUGAAUAAGGACCGGCUAAUUCCGUG